rnacentral:rRNA from 1 species
GACAGAGGGUGCAAACGUUGCUCGGAAUCACUGGGCGUAGAGGGCGUGUAGGCGGCCAGGUAGGUCUGCUGUGAAAACUCGAGGCUUAACCUCGAGCUGUCGGCGGAAACCAUCUGGCUAGAGUCCGGAAGAGGAGAAUGGAAUUCCCGGUGUAGCGGUGAAAUGCGCAGAUAUCGGGAAGAACACCCGUGGCGAAGGCGGUUCUCUGGGACGGUACUGACGCUGAGACGCGAAAGCGUGGGGAGCGAACAGG